rnacentral:rRNA from 1 species
AGUGGAUGGGGAGCAACCUAGUUGUGCGUGUGUAAAGGUAGUGCCAAGAAAAGCGGCGAUCAUGAUGAAAAUCAAUUCCCGGUACCCGAAACCGACACAGGGGGGCAAGUAGAGAAUACUAAGGGGCGCGAGGUAACUCUCUCCAAGGAACUCGGCAAGAUGACCCCGUAACUUAGGGAGAAGGGGUGCCACCGAGAGGUGGUCGCAGUGAAGAGGCCCAGGCGACUGUUUAGCAAAAACAUAGGUCUCUGCAAACUCGAAAGAGGAGGUAUAGGGGCUGACGCCUGCCCAGUGCCGGAAGGUUAAAGAAGUUGGUCAGUCUUAGGAUAAAGCUAGCGACUGAAGCCCCGGUGAACGGCGGCCGUAACUAUAACGGUCCUAAGGUAGCGAAAUUCCUUGUCGGGUAAGUCCCGACCCGCACGAAAGGCGUAACGAUCUGGGCGCUGUCUCGGAGUGAGGCUCGGCGAAAUAGGAUUGUCUGUGAAGAUACGGACUACCUGCAUUUGGACAGAAAGACCCUAUGAAGCUUUACUAUAGCUUGGAAUUGUGUUCGGGCUUCCUGUGCGCAGGAUAGGUGGGAGGCGAAGAAGGUAUUCUUGUGGGGAUACUGGAGCCAACGGUGAGAUACCACUCUCAGGAGGCUAGAAUUCUAACUUAAUUAAGGACAGUUUCAGGUGGGUAGUUUGACUGGGGCGGUCGCCUCCAAAAAGGUAACGGAGGCGUACAAAGGUUCCCUCAGACUGGUUGGAAAUCAGUCGCAGAGUGCAAAGGCAGAAGGGAGCUUGACUGCGAGAAGUACAGUUCGAGCAGGGUGGAAACACGGUCUUAGUGAUCCGACGGUGCUGUGUGGAAGGGCCGUCGCUCAACGGAUAAAAGUUACUCUAGGAUAACAGGCUGAUCUCCCCCAAGAGUUCACAUCGACGGGGAGGUUUGGCACCUCGAUGUCGGCUCAUCGCAACCUGGGGCGGAAGUACGUCCCAAGGGUUGGGCUGUUCGCCCAUUAAAGCGGUACGUGAGCUGGGUUCAGAACGUCGUGAGACAGUUCGGUCCAUAUCCGAUGUAGGCGUGAGAAUAUUGAGAGGAGCCUUCCUUAGCACGAGAGGACCGGGGAGGACGCACCGCUGGUGUACCUGUUAUGAUGCCAAUUGUAAACGCAGGGUAGCCAAGUGCGGAGAGGAUAACCGCUGAAAGCAUCUAAGUGGGAAGCCCACCUCAAGAUGAGUAUUCUGGUGUAAGGUCACGGGAAGACGACCCGUAAAUAGGCACGAGGUGGAAGUGCAGAGAUGUAUGAAGCCGAAGUGUACUAAUAGACCGUCGGCUUGAUC